CAGCCGCCGCGGUAAUACGUAGGUGGCAAGCGUUGUCCGGAAUUAUUGGGCGUAAAGGGCUCGCAGGCGGUUUCUUAAGUCUGAUGUGAAAGCCCCCGGCUCAACCGGGGAGGGUCAUUGGAAACUGGGAAACUUGAGUGCAGAAGAGGAGAGUGGAAUUCCACGUGUAGCGGUGAAAUGCGUAGAGAUGUGGAGGAACACCAGUGGCGAAGGCGACUCUCUGGUCUGCAACUGACGCUGAGGAGCGAAAGCGUGGGGAGCGAACAGGAUUAGAUACCCCAGUAGUCCCUGUCUCUUAUAC
rnacentral:rRNA from 1 species